UAAAGUCUAAUCUGCCCACUGAUAUAAUAUUAAAGGGGUGCAGUAUUUUGAGUGUACAAAGGUAGCAUAAUCAUUAGUCUUUUAAUUGAAGACUUGUAUGAAUGAUUGGAUGAAAUAUAAACUGUCUCUAAUAUUAUUAGUUAGAAUUUAAUUUUUUUAUUAAAAAGUAAAAAUAAAUUUAAAAGACGAGAAGACCCUAUAGAGUUUUAUAAUUAAUUUAAUUGAAAUUAUUUAUAAAGAUAAUUUUAAAUUAAUAAAUUAAAAUUAAGUUAAUUAUUUUGUUGGGGUGAUAAAAAAAUAAAAAUAACUUUUUUUAAUAAAUAUAUAUAUAUAUAUAUAUAUAUAUAUAUAUAUAUAUUGUAAACAAAAAUAAAUGAUUUUUUGAUCCAGAAUUUUUGAUUAUAAGAAAAAAUUACCUUAGGGAUAACAGCGUAAUUUUUUUUUUUAGUUCAAAUAAGAAAAAGAGUUUGCGACCUCGAUGUUGGAUUAAGGAAAAAUUUAAAUGCAAAAGUUUAAAAUUUUG
rnacentral:rRNA from 1 species